UUACUGGUCCGGACAUCAAAAGGAUAGACAGACUGCCAGAUCUUUCUUGAUAUGGUGAUUGGUGGUGCAUGGCCGUUCUUAGUUCGUGGAGUGAUCUGUCAGGCCAAUUCCGGUAACGAACGAGACCACAUUCUCCAUUUGACGAGUCGGAGAAGGCGUUGGCAUCGUGUAUUUUUGUUCGCAAAGGUGCGUGGUGUCGGCGCUGAAGGCAUCGUGAAGCAGCACCGUGUACAUCGGCCGAGGUGGCGACAUUGAGACCGGUGUGCACGGGGUUAACUUUGCGCUCCCUCCGGCUUAGCAGUACAUCUCUCGCAAGGGUGGUGUAUUGCAUCAUGGAGAGACAACGGAAUAUAUCAAAAAAAUCCGAGGAAGUGUGGCUAUAACAGGUCUGUGAUGCCCUUAGAUGUUCAGGGCUGCACGCGCGCUACAAU
rnacentral:rRNA from 1 species